rnacentral:rRNA from 1 species
AUGGGGCUCACCGCGUCGGUGCUCGGCUUGGGCCUCCUCGGCGCCGUGGCCGCCUCCCACAACGCCGAAGUCGACAACGACAAAACCGCGGUCACGCACUACGUGGCCAACGGCGGCUGCCUCAAGGAGUUCCGGGCGGCCAUGAGGACGUGCGACCCCUACGAACCCGAUUCCGCCAAGCGCCGCGUCGUGGACGUCGAGGCGUGCGUCGGCGCCACCAAGGCGCUGCGCGAGUGCUUUGGCCGCAACCCGGACUACUUUGAGCACCAGUACAUCAAGCGCUUGGACAGCGGCCUCGACCAGGACCGCGGCUCGUCGCCGAGGCAGGAGGAUGUGGGGAAGUACAGGUGGUGGCAGGGCAUGAGGAGAAGCUAG